GGAGUUGUGACUCGGUGGUAGAGCACUCGCCUAGCAUGUGUGAGGCGCUGGGUUCGAUGCUCAGCACCA
rnacentral:tRNA from 1 species